rnacentral:misc_RNA from 1 species
AGCAGCCGCGGUAAUUCCAGCUCCAAUAGCGUAUAUUAAAGUUGUUGCAGUUAAAAAGCUCGUAGUUGAAUUUCGGGAUUGACGUGAUGGUCGUGCCUUAAGGGGUAUGAACUGUUGCUGUUGAUUUCUCACCUUCUGGAGAAACUUGAUGUCCUUAAUUGGGUGUCUUGCGGAUCCAGGACCUUUACCUUGAAAAAAUUAGAGUGUUUAAAGCAGGCAUUUUGCUCGAAUACAUUAGCAUGGAAUAAUAGAAUAGGACGGCAUGGUUCUAUUUUGUUGGUUUCUAGGAUCACCGUAAUGAUUAAUAGGGAUAGUUGGGGGCAUUAGUAUUCAAUUGUCAGAGGUGAAAUUCUUGGAUUUAUUGAAGACUAACUACUGCGAAAGCAUUUGCCAAGGAUGUUUUCAUUAAUCAAGAACGAAAGUUAGGGGAUCGAAGACGAUCAGAUACCGUCGUAGUCUUAACCAUAAACUAUGCCGACUAGGGAUCGGAUGAUGUUAAUUUUUUAAUGACUCAUUCGGC